CCUGUGGGGAAAAAAGUGCAUCCAAAAGAUAUAUUCCAACAAAAAUAUCAUCGUCUCACCCUCUUCAUCGUCCUCCGUCGCUCAUCCACGUUGCUGCAGGCUCCUCUCAAUGGAUCCUGAGAACUUCUGAACAGGAGCCGUUGACGCACUACUGUUCGAUCGCUGCACACGUUCGAGACUGGAAUGGUAACAGAAACAUGGAUUCUGAACUGUAUUCAUGGUUUACAGAGAUUGAGGACGUUUAGAGCUGUUGUCCACUAAAAGACACCUGUAUGUUCCCUAGAUUGUCUCACGUUCAAAUGAAAAACGUCUUUUUCUCCCAGACUCAUUGUUUGACGAAGAAAUAUAACUACUCAAUAAGACGAGCAGCGGUGUUGUAACGCUGAAGUCCUUUGAGAAACUGGAGUAAAAACUGUAGCAGUCAACAGAAACCCUGACCUGUCAGUGACGACGACACAGAAACAGGCGAAGGAAGUGAUUUUAUUGUUGGAGCUGAAAGUCCAUCACACAUGCAGACAGCGAUGUUGAAGCCGUGUAUCAUCAAUAUUUUAUUGGCAAACCAGAGAGAAGUUU